rnacentral:rRNA from 1 species
UACCAGCACCCCGAGUGGUCGGGACGAUUAUUGGGCCUAAAGCAUCCGUAGCCGGUCAUGCAAGUCCUCCGCUAAAUCCACCUGCUUAACAGAUGGGCUGCGGAGGAUACUACAAGGCUAGGAGGCGGAAGAGGCAAGCGGUACUCAGUGGGUAGGGGUAAAAUCCUCUGAUCCAUUGAAGACCACCAGUGGCGAAGGCGGCUUGCCAAUACGCGCUCGACGGUGAGGGAUGAAAGCUGGGGGAGCAAACCGG